AUGCUCUUCCCCAGUAGCUCUACACAGGCUGUGUUCCACAGUAAACAGCAGCAGUACUGGUUUCAGUUGUAUUGAUGCAGCCGAGCAGUGAUAUCGUGACAGUGCGUAGGUGGACUUUUCCAGUAUGUGACAUCAUCACAUCUCACCCAGUAACCACCGUCAGAGGGAUCUGACGCUCCGGCCGACUCUACACAGCGAGAUCGGUGACUGUGUGCACGGUUAUAGCCGGCAUUUUUUCAUGGCCGUGUCCCAAUUCACUACCCGGAGCAGCGCUAGAGUAUUGGACCGUGACCUUGAUGACAACACGGGUUCAAUCCCGUGUGAGAAGCGCUCUCUGUCCUUCAUACUGUCAUGGAGGCCUGAAAGAACUGUGUGGAGCUUCAGGAUACAUCAGAAAUACAGUAUAUUCACCAUAGGAGAAGAACAGUGGACAACACUGUUCUUGGAUGUCCAUCAAUAUGGAGAAAGAAAGGAGUACGCCAGUCGUUAACAGAGUAAAAGGAAAAACAGAUGAGAAAUACUGUUUAAAUGCCUGGCACUGUAUGAGUUUAGCGCUCCAUCAGAUUCAUCAGAGCGAGCCUUCAGGACCACCUCAGUCCUUCCUCGCCCAGCAGAGGCUCCAGACCCAGAGCAGGAGGGGGUUCAUCUCCAGACCCAAACUUUAAUCAUCAGACUCACGAGCUCAAGAGCUUGGUCUCCCUCUGCUGGCAGCUGGUGCAAAGUGAUGUGGGCACCUCUUCUUAUUCAAUGUUUUAUCUUUAUUUCUUUAUUUAAUUCAUUUUCUACAUUGUAGAUUAAUAUUAAAGACAUGAAAGCAAUUAAGGGACACAUAUCAUAUGGAAUUAUGCAGUAAACAGUAAAAAAAAAAUGUGUUAUUACUCCACAUUAAUCCCCUGAUCAAAAUCUGAUGAACUGAGAUGGUGAUUUGAGGGGAUUUAAUUGGAAUGAGCUGGAGCUUCACAGCGUGAAGGAAAGAAAAGCAGCAACUAUUGUUCAGCACCUCCGGGAACUCCUUCCUUCCAGAUGCUGAGAAAACUAUUCCAGGAGACUCUCCCUCAUGAAGAUACUGAGAUUAAAAUCUCACCAAGAGUGUGUAGAUCUGUCCUCAAAGAUACAUGUGGCUAAUUAGAAGAAUCUAAAGUAUAAACCAUAUUCUGGUUUGUUUAAAACAGUUUUUAUUUACAUAAUAAUUGAGCAUGUGUUUUAGUAGAGCUUUAAUCUAGUCUUCAAUAUUCAAUUUACACUGUUAAAAAAAAAUAAAGAAUGGGAAGAGGUGUUUCCAAACUUUUGACUGGUACUGUACAUUAAAUGUAUAUUUUGUUAAACAUACUCAUUUAAUAAUAAUUAAUGCUCAUUUAGCUUACUUGUGUUAUGUUACAUU